rnacentral:lncRNA from 1 species
AUGGUGAUGUAUUUUAUUUCAGCAGGUGCAAAACCAAAAAAGGCAAAAAGAUCUGAGCCUAAAAGUAAUCUGGAGGUACUGAAAAAAAUUGAGGAGUUGGAAGGGAAGGAUGAUGAAGACCAAAAAUCUGAAGAUGAAAACUCUGAAGACGAGAAAGACAAAACAAAAGAGAAAGAAGGUGAAGAUGAAGAAGGAGAAGAAUCAGAGGAACCUGAUGAAGAGGAGCAUGAAGAGGAAAAUGACUACAUUGCUUCAUAUUUUGAAGAUGGAGAUGACUUUGAUGUUGCCAGUGAUGACAAUAUGGAUGAAGCGACAUAUUAG